CGGCCCAGACUCCUACGGGAGGCAGCAGUGGGGAAUCUUGCACAAUGGGCGAAAGCCUGAUGCAGCCAUGCCGCGUGAAUGAUGAAGGCCUUAGGGUUGUAAAGCACUUUCACUGGUGAAGAUGAUGACGGUAGCCAGAGAAGAAGCCCCGGCUAACUCCGUGCCAGCAGCCGCGGUAAUACGGAGGGGGCUAGCGUUGUUCGGAAUU
rnacentral:rRNA from 1 species